rnacentral:rRNA from 1 species
GACGAACGCUGGCGGCGUGCUUAACACAUGCAAGUCGAACGGAAAGGCCCUGCUUUUGUGGGGUGCUCGAGUGGCGAACGGGGGAGUAACACGUGAGUAACCUGCCCUUGACUUUGGGAUAACUUCAGGAAACUGGGGCUAAUACCGGAUAGGAGCUCCUGCUGCAUGGUGGGGGUUGGAAAGUUUCGGCGGUUGGGGAUGGACUCGGGGCUUAUCAGCUUGUUGGUGGGGUAGUGGCUUACCAAGGCUUUGACGGGUAGCCGGCCUGGGAGGGUGGCCGGCCACAUUGGGACUGAGAUAUGGCCCAGACUCCUACGGGAGGCAACGGUGGGGAAUAUUGCACAAUGGGCGGAAGCCUGAUGCAGCAACGCCGCGUGCGGGAUGACGGCCUUCGGGUUGUAAACCGCUUUCGCCUGUGACGAAGCGUGAGUGACGGUAAUGGAUGAAGAAGCACCGGCUAACUACGUG